CCUUGGCCACCUCACCAUUCAGUUUCGAAUCUUCAAACAUAUAAGCAGAAGGCUAUUGAAACACUAUGCACUGUUUAUUAGUUCCAGCUGCAAAUUAAGGGUUCACAGCUAACGAGUUCUAUAGCGACACUAUAAAAGGUAGCACAUCUGUCCUAGACACUGCGUUCGUGUGCACUGCACUAAAAUAAAAUAAAGUCUGUUAAGUGGAAGAAGAAACAAAACGUGAUCAUGUUAGGUGUGACAGCAGCCGCCUGUACUUCCGCACAGAGGGGCAGUUUCAGAAACGGGCGUGCAUUGGUCCUAGUCCUGCGAGCAGAAGACCCCGGUUAGAAAUUGGAUCAUGUUUUUGCAUGACAUUGGAUGGUGCAUGAAUGACCUGCUUAUCAUGAAGCCUACUGUUGCUCGGAGCUUUGGAGAGGCAGUGGACUGUGAGUUGUGUUUUAGUAUUUGAGUAUAUUCUGUUUGUGCUGAUUUAUACCUUUGUGCAAUAUUCCCUGAGGGGAAAAUUUCUGCUCUUGCCCUCCUUGAAUUUACCCAGGGUGUUUUAUAUUGUUUCCAGUAUCAGUCAUGCAGAAUGGCUGUACACAUUUCAGACACACAGAGUACGUUAUGUAUGGAAAUAAGACAGCAGAAUGUGGAUUUAAAAAAACAAAAACAAAAAACAAUCAAUUUUCUGGUGUUCUCUUCUGAAACUCGCACAGUAUUUGCAAUGCCAGCACAGGACACUACAUAUAUAAAACAUUACAGCAGGCCUUGAAUUUGGAAAAUAGAUGGAGUAAAAUUUACCCUUGGUUGUAAAUAGUAAAAAUAGGUUGUCAGAUUUGCCCAUUUUGCUCCACACAUUCCCAUGAGGAUAGACUGAAAAUAGCCUGUUUUCUCUGUGUGACUUGCUUGAAGUUUAAAAAAACAACUUAAAGUGCUACUUAGUGUAGGAUUUAUUUUAGGGUUUUAAAGUGCAAAUUAGUAUAUUGAGAAUAUACUCGAAAUAUGGCACAGCUCAAUAUGAGUGUUUUGGUUGAAGGGAGGAAAAAAACAGUCAAAAUGUGCUUUCUGGAGUUUCACAAAUGCUGAGACACAUUAACUGUAGGCAGCAUCCUACACCUCGGUUGCACAAUGCUUAUUACCUAGACACUGUAAGGCAAUGGGUGGUCCUGCAAGUAAGUCUUUAAGGAAAGACAAAGUCAAUGGAUAAAGUUAAUUUCAGUGCUUCUUCUAGAUUUAUAUACUAUUUUGUUCUGAAUGCUACAUGAUACUGAUUAUAUUUGUUGCUUUGCAUGCAUGCACACACACGAAGAUGUAUAUGACACAUACUACACAUCUAUCUAUGCACUGGUAAUUGCAUACUCUGUCUUUAUUUGUAUUUAGUUAUCACUGGUUUGUCACUACCAAAACAGUCUUUUUUGCAAAUCUAACCUCUGCCUCCUUUCUUCUCUGUGUAGAAUUAGCCAAUUAUUUCCCCAGAGGGAGAGGUAGUAACAUUUUGUUUUGUGAGCAAUGAAAUAAACAGGUCUCUCAAUACAUUUAAAACACUAAAAAAAAAAAAAAAAAAAAAAACUAUGGGUGCAUUUUAAUGUUUGUAGAGGCUAAUUUCAAUACGGUACUAAAAUUUUAAGGUUGCAGUGAAUUGCAAUUGCUUUCUGUUUGUAAUAGUGCAAUUCAAAACCACUCUUGGCACAAAACCCUGGCACGGCUGCCAUGGAAACCACGACAUUGCAGGUACUGAGCUGCUGCUUUCAAAACCACGUAGCUGGGUUUGGGGAGAGCUGCUGGCCUUAUGGGGAUGAGCAAAGAACUGGGCUUCUUCAUAAGCCUCUGCUGCUCCAAGCAGAUGGCUCUAGUCCUGACGUGGGAGAGGCAGCUGUGUCAGCACGGCUGGGCACUGACAAAUCUGAGAUUCCCAUUGCUACACUUGAGCCUGGGUUUGCAGACUAAACUGAGUGAUGGAAGGGGCGCUGGUCUGUUUCUGGAGCUCAAAACGCCUCUGAGCAGGGUGGCUGCAAGUCAGGCUGCUCGCUGAUAACAGGCAUCAGUCCUUUUGGAAGCAGCUUUCAGGCUCCAUUGUGGUCGAAUGACAAGAAAGUUGACCUUCUUGGAAUUUAUUUCUUAAGCUGUGUUACAGAUCCCUAGCAACCUGAGCUGCAACUUGUUUGUGCAGCCUCCUCAGGGUUCUUUAACAUGGAUGAAUUUUUCUCUAUAUCUGUUGUUGAAAAUCCCCAACUUUACAAUUUUAUUUCUAUUUGAUAGAAAGAGAAUUGAGUAGCCGGAGAUGUGGACAAAUCACUGACUUGUCCCACUAACGUCCCUCGCCUAUUCCAUGCAUGGGCUAUGCCCCAGGAAUCACAUUCUGGAUAGCCCCGCUAAUCCUCAGUGAUGAUUUUGCAGAAUAUUUAGGAAGCAGAGAAAUUACCAGCACAGAAGACUGCAUCUGUUGCUGGUAGCUGGUAGGUGUUGAGUGGUUGUGUUCCAAACCACUGUCUGCAGCACCUAAUUCUGUGAAGGUGAGUUUCAACAAUCAUAUAAUAUUUAAUAAGUAUAUAGGUUGUUAUGGAAAUAAAGAAAACAUCACUGAUAUCAUCAGUCAACAGUGAGAGUUUUCCAUUCUUUUCAUUAGCAGAUCUACAUGCUGAACAAUUUGAGGAAUGAGGUCUAAAGAUGGAGUGAAAUUAUAUUAUUUGGCUGCUUUCUUAAGUUUCCAUUUGCGUGUUUGCUCUUUCGAAGAUUGACUUUGGCUUUGAGAGAAGUCCAGAUAAAGCAAAACUACCGAAACAAUUGCUGUCUGGUGACUACCAGCAUGGUCAUACUAAUGACGACUACUUCUAGGCGCUUAAAACUUCUAAGGCUUGACACCAAAUUCAUAAGAGUCUUUCUGUCCCUGCUAGCAGAAUCUGAACUAGGCUUGUAUAGCAUUUUUCUUCAGAUUGUACACUGUUUCAUGAAGAAUAGCUGAUGUUAUCAUCCCUGUUUUACAGAUGGGUAAAACUACCAUGUGGUGAAGUAACUAGCCCACUGCUAUCUAAGAGGUUAUUUACAAAAUCUUCUGACCCCCAGCAUGGCACCUCAUCUCCAUAAUCAUACUAUCUGUGAACACCUAGUUAACUGCACAAGUUUUAAGCAUUCUCCUGCAGAGUUUUGACUGAGAGGCUGAAAAAAGUGUUCAGCAGAUCUCCCAGGUGAGUAGCUCAUUUCACAACUACCUCAUUUGUGUGGUUUCCACUUGAUAGUUUUUUUGUUUGUUUUUGUUUUUAAUCUUCCUUCCUGUUUUCUUUGCCUCCAUUUGCAGGAAAGUAUGAUUAAAAUGCCUUGGGUGUUCUCAAGCAGACAGUUUAAAAUUGGGGGUAUUCUGAAAAACAACACUUAAGAUAGCUUCUGGAUUUUGCAUCAGUAUACUCUGCUUAUUGUGGAAAAGCGCAGUAGAGACUGCAUGCUGCACAGCUCUUCUCUUUUGUCAUAGCAUCAGUUGCAGACUGUCCUAGUGACUUUGCUGGCUUUAUUUAACUGGCUACAUGAUCUGCACCAGGUUCAUUGGCAUUGUACUAAAGAAAAUGGGGCCUUCCCACCCUCAGAUCAGAAACACAGCAAAUAGUAAACAAAGGUCUGUUUUCUUUGGUCCCAUUAGGUCACUGGCAAUCUCUUCCAGAAAGAAACAGACUUUCUUCCUCCCAGCCACCCUUGUUCAAGGAUUGAAAGAGACAAGGACCAAGGCUGAGCACUUACAACUUCCCUGAGAAGCUGUUUGCCGUCUCACAAAGACUCAGAGGACUUCAAGGGUCUGCACUCCUGCCCCAAGAGAAGGGGUUGACUAGCAGGAAGGAGGUAGGAGCAGUUGAGUGCAAAAACAGGGACAGAACUGAGAAAGGAAGUUGCUUGAAAGAUGAAGAUCUUUCUACUAGGGAGACCAUGUCUAACUACAGUUAAACUCCAUACCACCAUCCCAUGUACAGCUAAAAAUGAAUCUACAGCUUGUUUAGAUCUCAGCUGUGCUCUUAUAACCCUGAUCCCAAACUUGACAUUGCCAUUAUUACAGUCUGUGGAUAGUCCUGCUCCUGAUUGUGUGCGUUUUGGUUCUCAUUCACAGCUUGAGGGUCUUUGCUUAUUUUCAACCCCUGUUACUCUGCAUGGCUCCUAACAUUCAGUAGCUGCCUGAAGUCUCUCAUGAAGAGGGAUGUCCUUGAGGUCCCUCACGGCAGAAACCUUUAACGCACCUGGAACCCUGCUGGAAGUAAUGGUAUGUUGUCCAUUUAAUAAGUUAAUUACUCUCUUGUUUUUCACUCUCCUCUCAGUUUUCUCAUGAUAUAAAAGGGCUGUUAAUGUGGCAAACAUUAGCCAUGUCAUGCUGUGCUGGCAAUGGCAAACUUUCUUGGCAGGAUGGUUUUCUCUGUCCCUAAGGCUACUGAUAGAAUGAUACAGGAACAGAGGUGGCAUGGCCAAGAUGAGGGUGGAGAGCUGCUGUGCUCUGGCUUUUCUCAGCUACAAGACAUUUAGCUGGAAGUGCAAAGUGAAGUAGUUGCAGGGCUGCUAUAGUUGCUGGUGGAGGACAGACAAUUUCCCAUCUGUCUUUAUUCUAGAGAAAAUGCAAAAAUUUUGCAUUGCUUUUUGCAGCAUUGCUUUUGUCUGAUACUUCUAGUGCUGAGCAAAUGAUUAUGAUGAAGAUAAGGGUAUGAAUCCAAGUGUCUAAAGACAUUUCCUCUGAUCUGUGGAGGUUAAGAGCUGCUCAGCAUCUGAAAGUCCCCAUUGACUUUAUAUACCUCCAUUUCUCUCUGAGAUGUUGUGUAGAAAGUUGGUAUUUACAGUUCAAUUCCCUAUUCUCUCGAGUCUCCUUAAUUCAAAUUUCACACCAGUUAUAUCAAGUUGUGUUUCUUAUGGUUGCCUGGAUAGUGUUUACUGGCCAUUAGUAUUCAUUGGCCACUCAUCAAUUGCAUCAGUAUAAAUCUUUUUUAUUUUUAUACUAGACUUCAUCUAAACUCUGCUGUGCUUCUUCACUUUUUAAAGGAGGCUUAGGACAUAAUAGCUAAUUGGGAAGAAAAGAAACUGCAGACUGAGAAAAAUAAGCUUUUUCUUGAAUUAGUACAUGGCUAUAGUGAUUUCUGAGUUAGCGUAGAAUUUACUAGCAAUUAAGAAGAAGUUUAGAAGCAGUAAACUUCAUGUUCUCCCUCUAGAAAAUGAUCAGAGAUGUCUAUCAGCUAUUUUGUACCAUUCUUUCAAAGUAUUGUUGGGUAAAUGUGGGAGAUUGUAACAAAAUACCUUGGUCAGGACCUGAUUCAGCAAAAUAACAAUUAAGCUUGUGUGCCAGACCAUCUUUGGCUACAGAAAUCAAUUUUUAUGGGCUCCAGAGCUUCAUGCAGGAUUAAGAAGCAUGGAUCCCAUGGGUAGGGGCUCACUUUUGUUGUUGUUAAAGCAGGUCCUUAGAGUGAAAGGGAUAUAACUUCAUUAAAUUAUAAAAAGAAUUAUGGAGCAGAUGUAUUAAACCACAGACAAAGGAUGAUGAAAUGAUGGCUUGGACAGUAUGGAAGGAAGUAUAGCAUAAAGAACAGCAUAGGCAAUAUGGAUUUAAGCCUCUGAAAAUGAGUAAUGAUUCAUCAAUAUGGGCAUCACUGGUUUUCAAAAUGGCAGUGAAAAAAAAUCCUAAAUUGGUAUGCUUGGGAAUUUUUCUGCUGGAGAGUAAUAAAGAAUUAUUUUUUUUCCAUGCAGACUAUCUGGAAAAAAAAAAAAAGUAAUUUAACUAAGUAGUUCUAUUGUAAUACCGAGUACUUACUCUUUGCAUUAAUACCUUGCAUCAGGUUUUGUGUCACAACCUCAAUGAAGUUACCUAUAGUCUGUGACAUUCCUUGUUCUUUUGCAUUAAAUAACUGUAUUGUAAUCUCCUCGGCUGCCCAACAUGGAGCUCAGGUUGAUGGAAUUGGAGAAAAACUUCACAGAAUAAAAAGUGACAGUCUGUAACAUACACAAGUUGCAAGCAACGUACAGUAAUAACAAAUAAAUGUUAACAAACAGAGUGAAAGAGAGAAAGAGAAAAAGAGAGAGAAAAUGUGAAGAACAUGUAAAAGAAUUAACAGAUUCCUAUAUAACAACUCAGUUUUAGUUAUCCCAAUAUUCUAAGGCCAUUAAAAUAAUAAUUUAAAAAAUGUUGUUAGAUCUAGGUAUCUUUAUUAAAAUUUCCUGAUGUUUAUAUUACUGCAUAUUUUGAAAGUUGCUAUGAAGGUCUUCUGAGUAGAUUUCACACUGAUGGAUUUUUUGCUGGCGCAAAUGAGAGCAGAAUUCAGUAUGCUACAUGAAUAUGCAGAGGCCUUCCAACCCAACCUACCUCUUUCAACAUUUACUCACCACCGUGUUGACCUGGGUUCCUCCAGGAAGCCGUGUCCCCCAGUAAAGGCACUCCAGUGACGGUGGUGACCGCCUCUCCCAGAACUAACUGGCCAACAUAGUAACAUCACUCCCAGAGAAUAUCACCUUUGAGAGGCACUACUUCUUGAAGUGAGGUGACAGUAUGUUGGCUGCCUACCUACUGGUACCUCUAGAGGAAAUACAGGAGCUCUAAUUAAGUUGAUCCAGUAUAUUAUCACCUCUACAGGUAUUACUGAAUACGUGUUUAGUGCAGUGCUGAGAACUGUUGCUCCUGGAAGUGCUACAUUGCAAAGAGAGCUGGAAGAUCCCUCCUAGUUUUAUCCUGAUGCUUCUGGGGUUUCACUUAUACUCAUCCUGGCCUUCUGAGAUCCCACUAACAUCAGAUUCUGUAGAGCGUGGUGGGUCCUUGACAGGUCAGGUAGAGGUUGCAGGAAAAUGCAGUUGGGUGAGUCAUGCUACAGUCUUACGUUACCGCUCUGACUGAGGAACACAGUAUGAUGAUCUGUACAGUAUGGAAGGUGUCUGAGACAUGGAGCAUGGAUGAAUACAAAGAACAAUGACAGUGGGAAUGGUGAAUUGCUUCUUAUUUCGGCUUUGUGCUUAUAAACAGACAAGCAAAUAGGCAAAGUUUGGAGAAAAUAUCCAUCAAGUACAGAGUAAGAGGGAUAUAAGCUAGUGGGCUGGGCACAGAGCUUUCACCUCAUACCCUAGACCCUUUUUGCCCUGGCCUUUUGUAGUAAUGGGUAAAUCAUCCCAUUUAUCUAGUGCUAUUGCAGUAAAGGUGACUUUUGUUGUAUCUGUCCUACAAGCGUCAUUCAUACUUAAUCCAGCAGAAGGGAGAGAUGCCAAGAGUACCUCUUUGAUAUCCCAGGAAUUCACUCUGCAGUGGAUGGCAUGGGAGCUAUAGUGGCAGGCACAUGGUGUGAAAGGAUGCUUGAGAAAGAUGGUUUACCUUAUUUAAAGAUACCUAGUUCUGGAGGAUUGGCAGAGGGUGAUCUGACUUGGCUGGAGUGUCUCUAUCUGUUUACCUAUCUCUAAAAGUGUCUCGUGCUCAUUAAGUUAAGGCAUGAAAAGUCCUAAGAUUUAUUAGUUCUGCGAUUAUUUUUCAGCUAAGUGUAGCCCUGCCCCUUCAUAUAGUUGUCCACAGGGGACUGUGUAAGGUGAUUUUUUUUUUUUUUUUUUUUGGUGUCUUACAUAGUGCCAGAGAAAAGCAUCUAAGUGUCUGCUUUGGGGACUGACAGCAAAAGAAGAACAGUUUUGAAGGAAAUCCCCCAGACUUCUCUGCUGACAGGACAGAAGCCAGUCCAGACAUGCAAGGAGCUCUUUUUACUUCUAUUCUUCCAUUAAAUACCUUACCAUACUGCUGCACUGCUCUGGGGCUUUGUUCAAACCUUCCUCACUAGGGACUAGGCUGUGGCUACUGCUCACUGCCAUUUAAGUAACUGGAUGGCAAAACUCUUCAGCCAUCGUAGACCUGGAAUGGAUGUGGACCAAAAAGAAGGUAACCCUUUGUGCUUGAAUUCAUUGCUUUUCCUUUUUGCUUUCAGUUGACUUGGUAUAGAGAAUUUUAUUCUUACUCAAAUCAUAAUGUAAGCAAGCACUCUAGUGUAAGUGACACCCACUGAUUGUAUCUCUACAGGAAAUGACAGAUGAAUAAUUGUACAACAAAAAAUUACAUUGUAUAGCUAUGAGAUUGCAGAAAUGCCACACAAGGGGCAAGGAAUAGAUCCGAAUUGCUUCCACCUAAAUAUAGGCACUUAACUGAGGAUCUUAAGUCAGAGCUGCAGUCACCUGAGAUAAGUUAUCGAGAAAGCCACCUCUGGUGCGCAAUUCAGGUCAUAAAUCAGUGAAUUACUCUCUUAGACUGCCUAACUCUUCUUUCAACAUAAGGGGAACUUCAGGCAAAUGUAUUUUAAGUUGAAUGAGAAGAACUGAGCGUUAUUCCUAUUAUUUUGAGCUGUUACAAUUUCUGCAUUAGACCCAGAGGACCCAGCCUCCAUCUUCAGUGAUGUUAAGAUGCAAUCAUUACCUCAUUUGCUAUUUGGAGAGACGGAUUAUGGAGUUUUAAAAGCUAGGAAAGCUAAGUACCAGGAGGAAAGAAAAAACAUCUCCCUGUUACCUUAUCCUCUGCCUUUUAAAUAUACUUAAAUAUAUCAAAUGCAUACAAACAUCAAAGCUGUCUGAGCUGAAAAAGACCGGGACUCUUUUCAGUUACAUUGUUGUCUGCUCUUGGUCUUACAGAGAGGGUCAAAAGCUUUAUGACACUAAAAUUAGUAGAGUCAUAUUACUUUUUUUUUCUUUAAUGUUCAAAGGCAUUUGGUCAGAGAAUUCUCUUCCCUGUGAAUUGAAGAACCACCACAGUGACUGCCUACCCAUGGCUUUAACAACGGUUUGCUAUCUGCAAAAGAAAACCACUGAAGUUCACAGUCUACGGCUAUAUGUUAGGCAGCAUAAUGGGCCUGUGAGAAGAACUGCCAAGAGUCCCCAGCUCCCACUGAGCAUUGGCACUGGAAUUACAGUGCUCAGCACACUUCUGACGUUAGAACCAAUGUGUUCCACAAGAAAUACAGGUUAUUUAGGUUACAGUAACAGAAGGGAUGAAAAAUGAAGCCCUGAGAAAAGAGCAGUGCCUUCGGAAAGCAUAACUGAUAAAGUAAAAACAGGUAAUUCCACAAUAUUUCUUUAAAGGGAGAUCAGCUCUAUCUCAGUAAAUUGCAUUGAUAUGGUAAGUUCCUAAUGUCACGCUGGAGUCAUUAUAACAAUGUAGUUCCCCUCUGUCAGGGAUAGGAUGGCUUUAACUAUUCAGACACUGGGGUAGUUGUGGAGUGGCUUCUGGACAAUUGUUUUCUGGGCAGGCAAGUAAAAUAACCACGAAAGUUUUUCUGAAGCUAAAGAUUGUAUUAGUAAGGACAGAUAUUUUCCUUCUCUUAGGCUCCUGAAUUUAAUAAUAUUUUUUCCAAAUUUUUCAGAUAUGCAAUGAAUAGAGUAUUUUGCUGUCAAUACACUGUGAAAAAGUUACCCAACAUGUCUGCAUGAUACACUUGUAUGAAGAUACAGUAUCCAUGGGGUAUAGCUGAAGUGAAGCUGCAUGCAGAGUGGACCAGAGAGAAGGGAGAGACAAGAGCCGCAUUAAAACUGAAGAUUACGCCAAGCCUUCUUCCUGUGGGCUUAAGAUGCCAAGUCUCACCUGCAAAGACAGUCUGACAUUCAAGCUUGGAGGGAGACCAGUAUGGCAGUCAGUCAGCGAAGAGAAGCAAGAAGUUUUGGAUAUACCUGUCAGCUAAUCCAAAAGGAGACAGAUCUACUGGGUUUUACCACACGAGGUUUACUUCGAGAGAUUUUCAUUGCAUUGACCUGAAUGGGGAGAAAAGUGAGGAUUUUAUCAAGUGAUGCCAUGUGUUGUUGAGUUACACAAGAGCAGCUAA